rfam:Clostridium sp. CAG:1013 genomic scaffold, scf137
AAUAUUAAAGCUGUCCAUCCAAAGACAGCAGGUAUAUAAACGGUUUUGUCCGGCCUGCCGAGGAAAGACGAGCAAUAUAAGGGAAGAGACCGCCAGAUUUGGACGGUUCCUUAUGCCCUGCGAUUUGCUUGCAACGCCUUUCCGAGGAGACCCGGAAAGGCGUUUUUGAUUUUACUU